UAGGAUUAUAGUUUAAAAUUAAAACAUUUAAAUUGCACUUAAAUAAUAUAUUCAAUUAUUAAUCUG
rnacentral:tRNA from 1 species